AGUGAACGCUGGCGGUAGGCCUAACACAUGCAAGUCGUACGGCAGCACAGUAAGAGCUUGCUCUUACGGGUGGCGAGUGGCGGACGGGUGAGGAAUACAUCGGAAUCUACUUUUUCGUGGGGGAUAACGUAGGGAAACUUACGCUAAUACCGCAUACGACCUACGGGUGAAAGCAGGGGAUCUUCGGACCUUGCGCGGUUGAAUGAGCCGAUGUCGGAUUAGCUAGUUGGCGGGGUAAAGGCCCACCAAGGCGACGAUCCGUAGCUGGUCUGAGAGGAUGAUCAGCCACACUGGAACUGAGACACGGUCCAGACUCCUACGGGAGGCAGCAGUGGGGAAUAUUGGACAAUGGGCGCAAGCCUGAUCCAGCCAUACCGCGUGGGUGAAGAAGGCCUUCGGGUUGUAAAGCCCUUUUGUUGGGAAAGAAAAGCAGCAGGUUAAUACCCCGCUGUUCUGACGGUACCCAAAGAAUAAGCACCGGCUAACUUCGUG
rnacentral:rRNA from 1 species